rnacentral:lncRNA from 1 species
GGUCUUUGAGUAAUUGGGUUUUUGCGGUGUCUUCUGAUAGCUGGAUACCUUGUAACUCGUUCUGAUGGGUUGACCCUUAACGGCUGAGUAACCGGGAGCGCCGUAGACAGAUUGAGGCAGAACGUAUCGUGUGUUGCCACCCUGAUACGGUUUGAAGUACUUCUGUAAUUGCCUGUAAGGCAUAACCUGCGGUUUGUAAUUGCUUUCCGAAACGUACAUGGGUUUGGAAUUCGGAUGGUUGGCCACUUUGUAACCGUUCAAGACGUAGGGUGUCUGAUAAAACUUCUUUUUGUCUCUCCGGAAGAAAAGGGCGUUCAUCAGAUUCCUGAUCCUGGUAGUGAAUCCUGGUCGGUAUACGGGACUUGUUUGAUAUCGGUAGGGCGAUAGCACGUGGAAGUUAUUACCGUAUAGGUUCUGGUAUCCGUUUAAAAAUUGCUGGUAAUUAUCUAAUGCCGACUGUUGCCCGGCCGUGCUACUCUGACAUGUGUGCCAGGCCACGAUUAGAAUCGCUAAUAUCUGAGGGAAUAAAAAAAAAAAAAAACAUAUUACAAUAUGAGUUUUUAAUGCAGAAAAUUAUCAUAAAGUCAUCUGUCAUCUUUCAAACUCUCGCCACCUAUCUUAAGUUUAAACGUUUCCAAACUGGUUUUUCUUAUAAAAAAAACUAAUGUAACGUUGUUGUAGAUUCUGUCGGUAAAAAUACAAAAACAGGAACUUAAUUUAAGGGUGCAUUACAUCCAGGUACUUGCCCCCUGUCUAAGAUAUGCAGAGAUUCUUCCAAAGUCAUUGAUCUGGCCGAGUAGAAUUUAUUAGAAAAAUUUAAUACUGAAUAUUUCAUUUACUACGCAUCAGUUUAUUUUAAACUGUUAACAUUUUUGUCUAACUCGUUUGAUUUUCUUUGGCAAAUUUUUUUUUUUCUGUGUUGUCAUCCCAAUAUCCGGCAGUCUUAUUUCCCUAUUGAGUUUACUCGACUUCCGUAUUUAAACUUAUUUAACCAACUUGGCAGUUUAGCUUUAAACCGUAG